rnacentral:lncRNA from 1 species
CUAUAAGAACAAUAUUUUGGGGUUUUUGAAUAUAAAGUACGGAAAAGUAAACAUGAAUGCAAUUUGAUCAAUUGAGGUUAAACACAAAAGUGGAUGGAUGAUGUUGAUAAUAUGAGAUGGAUUUGUUGCUAGGGUUCAGAUUUCACCCAAUCACUCUCAUAUAUCUACUUUUCUUAUUAAAUUCGCUUUAUUAUCAAUUGCCAUGCAAACUUUCUGAUUUACUCUAAACCCAAUUCUUGGCGAAAAGAGCCUACUAUUAAUUACUAAUUUAUUAUCUCUAGUCUCCCUGAGUAAUUAAUAAUGCAUUAAAGGAUAGAAGCAAAAUACAAUUGAUUGUCCUACCCCUAUCUCUAGGCAGUAUUGCUUAAUCAAGGAAUCUCCUAUCACUUCAUGACUUCCCCGUACGUUCCCGUAUCGAUAAAGGCAAAUGUCUUCUUACCGAAUGAGUUAAACGAUAGAAGCAUUAAGCAUAGAUAAGAAACCCAACAAUUGAUAAU